rnacentral:rRNA from 1 species
UUGACCUCGGAUCAGGUAGGGAUACCCGCUGAACUUAAGCAUAUCAAUAAGCGGAGGACAAGAAACCAACGGUACCUGGUUGAUUCUGCCAGUAGUCAUAUGCUUGUCUCAAAGA